AGAGUUUGAUCAUGGCCCAGGACGAACGCUGGCGGCAGGCCUAACACAUGCAAGUCGAACGAGAAGUUGAUCUUCGGAUUGAUGGACAGUGGCGGACGGGUGAGUAACGCGUGGGUACUUGCCUCUCGGUACGGGACAACCCCGGGAAACUGGGGCUAAUACCGUAUAUACCGACCUUGGUGGUUCUUGGUCGGGAAAGAUUUAUCGCCGAGAGAUAGACCCGCGUCCGAUUAGCUAGUUGGUGUGGUAACGGCGCACCAAGGCUUCGAUCGGUAGCUGGUUUGAGAGGAUGAUCAGCCACACUGGGACUGAGACACGGCCCAGACUCCUACGGGAGGCAGCAGUGGGGAAUAUUGGACAAUGGGCGCAAGCCUGAUCCAGCCAUGCCGCGUGAGUGAAGAAGGCCCUAGGGUUGUAAAACUCUUUCACCGAUGAAGAUAAU
rnacentral:rRNA from 1 species